rnacentral:rRNA from 1 species
UACAGAGGGUGCGAGCGUUGUCCGGAAUCACUGGGCGUAAAGGGCGCGUAGGCGGCUUGAUAAGUAGGGGGUGAAAUCUUGCGGCUCAACUGCAAGGCUGCCUCCUAAACUGUCAGGCUUGAGCACAGUAGAGGCAGGUGGAAUUCCCGGUGUAGCGGUGGAAUGCGUAGAGAUCGGGAAGAACAUCGGUGGCGAAGGCGGCCUGCUGGGCUGUUGCUGA